rnacentral:rRNA from 1 species
GGCCGCAAGGUUAAAACUCAAAUGAAUUGACGGGGGCCCGCACAAGCGGUGGAGCAUGUGGUUUAAUUCGAUGCAACGCGAAGAACCUUACCUGGUCUUGACAUCCACAGAACUUUCCAGAGAUGGACUGGUGCCUUCGGGAACUGUGAGACAGGUGCUGCAUGGCUGUCGUCAGCUCGUGUUGUGAAAUGUUGGGUUAAGUCCCGCAACGAGCGCAACCCUUAUCCUUUGUUGCCAGCGAUUAGGUCGGGAACUCAAAGGAGACUGCCAGUGAUAAACUGGAGGAAGGUGGGGAUGACGUCAAGUCAUCAUGGCCCUUACGACCAGGGCUACACACGUGCUACAAUGGCGCAUACAAAGAGAAGCGACCUCGC